rnacentral:rRNA from 1 species
AUGAUCAACUUGUGUGUCUAUGGGGUGCCCCCCUCCCCCGUAUAUAAAGGAGUGGAGGAGGGGGAGGGCUGGCCCUAUCUAUGGCGCGCCCUAGGGGAGUCCUACUCCCACCGGGAGUAG